rnacentral:SRP_RNA from 1 species
UGUAUGUUCUCCCGCAACGCUACUCUGUUUACCAGGUCAGGUCCGGAAGGAAGCAGCCAAGGCAGAUGACGCGUGUGCCGGGAUGUAGCUGGCAGGG